ensembl:lincRNA
GGGGGGGGGGGCGGUGGGCUCCGUGUGCGACGGCCACUUGCCUAGCCCUAGAGGGUCAGCAAGGACCUCUUCCACCUCGGUCGCCGGGCUGGACCCGCGCCUUCGCCGCAGCCCACCCUGGUUGCGGGAAGGGAGGGUGGGGUCCCCCGCAGGCUGGGCGAGUGACAGGAGCUGGGUGUUCUUCUAGCCUCGACUUCCUUCUCUUUUCUACUUGGGUUGGUUGGGGGGGGUGUCACUAAUCCUCGAGCCCCCACUGACCUCAUGUAGUGCCCACGUCACGCCCCCGUUUCCCCCCUAGGAACCUCAAAGAAGACCGCGGCGUGGGCGGCUCUCUAGACCCCCCGAGCUGCCCAGCAGCUGCUGCAAACGCGAGAUUCGGCGCUCCAUUUUUCUGGGAUGGCAGUGCUGUCGCCCCAAACCCCCAGCUUGCUGCUCAGCCUUCCUUCACCGCCCCUGCACAGGACUUCCUGACUUGGGGGUUUAUGAUGUGGGGGGGGGGCAGGAGGGAAGGUGAGGCACCCCUUCCUCACCCCUGAGACUGAGGGAGAAUCUGGCUCCUGGCAGCCUACUCCAUCAAGUGCCACACUGUUCCUAGGUAGGAAAUUUUCUCCCUGAAGACUCCAUUUUCUCGUCCCCAAGUCCCCAGCCCCUGGGGAUGAGGUGGGGACACCUAAGGUCUCCAACUGCUGGUUGAUUCCUCCCGACUGCACGUCCUAGGUUGGGAGGGAGCGGGUGGCCAUCGGCUUCUGCACCCUCCUUUCCUUUCCACGCGACUCCCUAGGGGUUCUAAGUCCCCAUCUCCCGGUGCACCCAGACCCCCAGGAGUGUCAGACUGGAAAGGAUGGUGAUGGAUGAGGAAACAGGCUGGGAGAGGGGAGUGUCCUCUGCAUGGUCUUUCAGGUUAGUGGCAGAGCUGGACUCUUCUUCACAUACCCCACCCCUCCCCUUGUUUCUUUCAAAUACCAAGAUCAAAGCCCAGGUUCGCUGUGGACCGGGAGCUCAGUCUUCCAAAUACUCUUGGCUAAAGUCCGGACGCGGCAGAAGGGGGCUGGGCACCAGAGGGGUGGGGAGCUGCCAGACUACUGGUUCAUACCUGAAACUGGGUUUCCCAACCGGACUUCUGCUGUCCCUCCCACCCCCAUCCUGCAGGGUCUCCUUCGAGGAUGGAAACAAAGCAUCCCCGGGUGGCCUUGCCAAUGCCGCUGGCGGGGCUCAAUCCUCCCCCACCAAUGCCUGCCAGCCCCCGUGGAUUCCGAGCCCGGCUCCGGAAACCAGUCUGACCACUUCGCCCAUUUCCCAAGCCUCCCCGGGCGGCUGGCGGCCCGCUCCCAGGGUGGGGUGAACCCGGCUCGUUCGCAACCUCCGCUGCUCCAGCGACUAAUGGAUUUGCCCAGAAGGCUACCGUCAAAGGGACACACCCGGUCACACUCUGGGGGCUUCCAGGUUGCUCCCCUCCCUGUCUUCCCCCAUCGUGAAAACUUCACGUGGUUGAAAACUCCACUCCCGGGCCUCAUCGCUGUUCACUUGCUGGGUCAGUCGCUGGCCCGGACAAUCCAAGCGAAGAGCCGAAGAGCCGCCUCCAGACAUGCCCCGGGCACACUGUUCCGGACUCGGCUGCCCUGGGGGCGCUUACAAUCGGGUCGGGACACCGAAUUGAGCCCUAGGAUUGAAUGUCAACCCUUUAGAAAGUGGCUGUUGCGUGGGAUCACAGUGUUGCCCCCAUGCGACCGAGGACGCAGAGGAAGAACAGCAGACCUCGAGGGAACCGCGGGCGGGAAAGGCCAGAGCAGUCCCACCGAAGUGGGAGGGUGGACAUGUGGCACCGAAGUCGUCCCUGCGCAAAUAUUUCAAAGGCUUCACCGACAAUUCACCAGGAUGCCCCCAAGAAAGCAACUGCGCCCCCACGUCCAGCCCCCGGGUCCUGUCGAUGGGAACCCCCUAGAGGGCAGGGCUCCAGCUGCCCCGGUCCCAGCCGCCACGUGGCGACGGCGCUGGCGCGCGCCAGCUGACCCCCAGACGGAGGCCGGGAUGGUGGGUGGCGGCUGGCCUGCGGUCUCUCCCGGGUGCGGAGCUAAGAGGCGGCGACCGCGGGGGCGAGGAGGGAAGAUGGCCGGCCGCCAGCGUCGUCCGCCCGGCCGGGGCCGCGGAAGGGCAGACAGGCAUGCCAGGUGGAGGGGCGUCACUCCCCAGCUUUGUCGAGCGCCCCGGCUACUCCUAAUGCCGGGCUUGGGCAGGCGGAGCCAGCUUUGCCGAGUCAGCAGGGUCGAGGUGCGGCCGGUGCGUUCCUUCCCCGAGCCCCGCCCCUUCCCAUCCCCAUCGCGCUUUUUUAGGGGGAAGGAGAGGGCAAUCAAAACCCACCCGCAGUGUUGGGGUCGUGCUGGGGUGUCCUCCGGGAUAAGCCCACCCCUCCCUGCUCCAAGAUGCUUCCCCUCCCCCAUCGCAGUUAACCUGGGGAAGGGGCUGAGCAGAGCUAUCUGCCCUGAGAGCAUCUCCCGCCUCUCCACAACCGGCGUCGUAGCUGGCUUAUUCUUUCUAGAUCCAUCCGAAAGGUUUAAAAAAAGAAGGUGGGAGUAG